GAUGAACGCUGGCGGCGUGCCUAACACAUGCAAGUCGAGCGUGAUUAAAUGAAGUGGAGAGCUUGCUCAAAGCGACAUUUAUGAAAGCGGCGGACGGGUGAGUAACGCGUGGGCAACCUGCCCUGUGCAGAGGGAUAGCCACUGGAAACGGUGAUUAAUACCUCAUGGAGCUAUUGAAUCGCAUGGUUUAAUGGUGAAAGUUCCGGCGGCACAGGAUGGGCCCGCGUCUGAUUAGCUAGUUGGUGAGGUAACGGCUCACCAAGGCGACGAUCAGUAGCCGACCUGAGAGGGUGAACGGCCACACUGGAACUGAGACACGGUCCAGACUCCUACGGGAGGCAGCAGUGGGGAAUAUUGCACAAUGGGCGCAAGCCUGAUGCAGCAACGCCGCGUGAGUGAAGAAGGCCUGGUCGUAAGACUCUGUCCUAGGGAAGAAGUAAAUAGACGGUA
rnacentral:rRNA from 1 species